GCAUUUUAAUCAGCCCAUUCACUCAGCUCUCACCAGAACUCCAGACAGCCUGUUCCCCACAGCUACUUUCUGCACACGCCACGGUCAGUGUGAACCGGAGUGACUUGACACAAUGCUGGAUAAACAAGAUGUAACGUUAGCUACAAACAAAACUGAGUUAAAUGGUUCCAGUCUGCCGUGAAGCAUUCAUCCAUGUAUACCGAAAAAAAGGAAUCGCAAGCCGAACUGGACUGAGGAGCAAGGUUUGUUGCUGGCCCAGUUGGUGAACGAACAUAAAGGCGACGAUUGUGAGAAAAGGUGGUAUGUGCUGCAGUCCAAGGCAAAAGAUGAGAUUGCAGCACACAAGCGGGAAUCCUCACUCACAGGUGAGCAAAAUACUAUGGCCUACCACAUAAUCUGGCAAUUUGCUCCUGCUGGCAAAGUUAAUUUACAUGCCUAAGUACUGUGUUCAUUGACUGUUUCUUUCUAGGGGGUGGACCACCUGCAAAGCGGCUGUCCCAGGUGGCCGACACUGUCUUUCAAGUCCUGGGACACUCUGAGGUCAGUGUCACCGGGCUGCCAACAGGCAUUGACACGUCAAUGAUGCAGGCCCUUGAAAUGCAGCAAAGCAUGGAGCCAUCACAAGAACCGGGCCCAUCAAGUUUGCCGCCUGAACCAUCUGCAGCUGCUACUCAGGAUAGCCCGGCGGAUCAAACACCAUUCCCAUCCGCAGCACCUGCUCCGUCAGCAUCCCUGCAGGAGAGAAGAUUGCAACUCACAAUUGAUGUGUUUGAACAACAAAAAAAAGUCCUUUCCCUUCAGGAGGAGUACUACCGCCUUAAAAUUGAACACCUAAAAAAUAAACCAUUUAGAGAUUG